rnacentral:rRNA from 1 species
AUUGAACGCUGGCGGCAGGCCUAACACAUGCAAGUCGAACGGUAACAGGAAGAAGCUUGCUUCUUUGCUGACGAGUGGCGGACGGGUGAGUCAUGUCUGGGAAACUGCCUGAUGGAGGGGGAUACCUACUGGAAACGGUAGCUAAUACCGCAUAACGUCGCAAGCCCAAGGAGGGGGACCUUCGGGCCUCUUGCCAUCGGCUGUGCCCAGAUGGGAUUAGCUAGUAGGUGGGGUAACGGCUCACCUAGGCGACGAUCCCUAGCUGGUCUGAGAGGGUGACCAGCCACACUGGAACUGAGACACGGUCCAGACUCCUACGGGAGGCAGCAGUGGGGAAUAUUGCACAAUGGGCGCAAGCCUGAUGCAGCCAUGCCGCGUGUAUGAAGAAGGCCUUCGGGUUGUAAAGUACUUUCAGCGGGGAGGAAGGAAGUAAAGUUAAAACCCUCGCUCAUUGACGCUACCCGCAGAAGAAGCACCGGCUAACUCCGUG